rnacentral:lncRNA from 1 species
UUAAUCUUUUUGUAGUCCUUAUAUGUUCACUGAUAUUAGAACAAAAAACUUUAGAUACCAUUUGAUAUCUUUGUAAAGAACUUUCUUAACCUAAAUAUUUGUAUAGAUAAAUGAUAUCUUUUGCCAUAUAAAAUAGGGACGAACAAAAUUCAAUUAACUUGAGUUGUAUUCACACAUUAUCAGAUAGUGCAUUAAGAUUUUAAUCCACAUUUACUAAUAAAUAAUAGAAAAAGCUUCGGGUUGGCUUUAUUUAGCCAACUCUAAAGCCUGAUGCAAUCCCCAUC